GAUGAACGCUGGCGGCGUGCCUAAUACAUGCAAGUCGAGCGAACAGACGAGGAGCUUGCUCCUCUGACGUUAGCGGCGGACGGGUGAGUAACACGUGGAUAACCUACCUAUAAGACUGGGAUAACUUCGGGAAACCGGAGCUAAUACCGGAUAAUAUAUUGAACCGCAUGGUUCAAUAGUGAAAGACGGUUUUGCUGUCACUUAUAGAUGGAUCCGCGCCGCAUUAGCUAGUUGGUAAGGUAACGGCUUACCAAGGCGACGAUGCGUAGGCGACCUGAGAGGGUGAUCGGCCACACUGGAACUGAGACACGGUCCAGACUCCUACGGGAGGCAGCAGUAGGGAAUCUUCCGCAAUGGGCGAAAGCCUGACGGAGCAACGCCGCGUGAGUGAUGAAGGUCUUCGGAUCGUAAAACUCUGUUAUUAGGGAAGAACAAAUGUGUAAGUAACUAUGCACGUCUUGACGGUACCUAAUCAGAAAGCAACGGCUAACUACGUG
rnacentral:rRNA from 1 species